AACCAAACAAAAACAAUAUGCCUCUGAAU
rnacentral:piRNA from 1 species